GGCGGCGUAGCUCAGCUGGUUAGAGCACCGGAAUCAUAAUCCGGGUGUCCGGGGUUCGAGUCCCUGCGCCGCUACUA
rnacentral:tRNA from 1 species